rnacentral:rRNA from 1 species
CCUACGGGAGGCAGCAGUGAGGAAUAUUGGUCAAUGGGCGGGAGCCUGAACCAGCCAAGUCGCGUGAGGGAAGACGGUCCUAUGGAUUGUAAACCUCUUUAGGCGGGGAGCAAUGCCGGGCACGCGUGCCCGGAGGGAGAGUACCCGCAGAAUAAACAUCGGCUAAAUCCGUGCCAGCAGCCGCGGUAAUACGGAGGAUGCGAGCGGUAUCCGGAUUUAGUGGGUUUAAAGGGUGCGUAGGCGGAUUUUUAAGUCAGCGGUAAAAUGUCCGGGCUCAACCCGGGCCGGCCGUUGAAACUGGGGAUCUUGAGUGGGCGAGAAGUAUGCGGAAUGCGUGGUGUAGCGGUGAAAUGCAUAGAUAUCACGCAGAACUCCGAUUGCGAAGGCAGCAUACCGGCGCCCGACUGACGCUGAGGCACGAAAGCGUGGGGAUCGAACAGGAUUAGAUACCCCAGUAGUC